AACUGUGAGACAGGUGCUGCAUGGCUGUCGUCAGCUCGUGUUGUGAAAUGUUGGGUUAAGUCCCGCAACGAGCGCAACCCUUAUCCUUUGUUGCCAGCGAUUAGGUCGGGAACUCAAAGGAGACUGCCAGUGAUAAACUGGAGGAAGGUGGGGAUGACGUCAAGUCAUCAUGGCCCUUACGACCAGGGCUACACACGUGCUACAAUGGCGCAUACAAAGAGAAGCGACCUCGCGAGAGCAAGCGGACCUCAUAAAGUGCGUCGUAGUCCGGAUUGGAGUCUGCAACUCGACUCCAUGAAGUCGGAAUCGCUAGUAAUCGUGGAUCAGAAUGCCACGGUGAAUACGUUCCCGGGCCUUGUACACACCGCCCGUCACACCAUGGGAGUGGGUUGCAAAAGAAGUAGGUAGCUUAACCUUCGGGAGGGCGCUUACCACUUUGUGAUUCAUGACUGGGGUGAAGUCGUAACAAGGUAACCGUAG
rnacentral:rRNA from 1 species